AAUGAACGCUGGCGGUGUGCCUAAUACAUGCAUGUUGAACGAAGCACUUGUGCUUAGUAGCGAAUGGGUGAGUAACACGUACUUAAUCUGCCUUUUAGAUUGGAAUAACCUUGGGAAACUGAGGCUAAUACCGAAUAUGAAAUUUAUACAUAUGUAUUUAUUUUGAAAGGGGCGUAUGCCUUGCUAAGAGAUGAGAGUGCGGGACAUUAGUUAGUUGGUAGGGUAAUGGCCUACCAAGACAAUGAUGUCUAGCCGAGCUGAGAGGUUGAUCGGCCACACUGGGACUGAGAUACGGCCCAGACUCCUACGGGAGGCGGCAGUAGGGAAUUUUCCACAAUGGGCGAAAGCCUGAUGGAGCAACACCGCGUGCAGGAUGAAGGUCUUCGGAUUGUAAACUGCUGUUAUAAGAGAAGAAAAAAUAGUGUAGGAAAUGACAUUAUCUUGACGGUAUCUUAUCAGAAAGCGACGGCUAACAAUGUGCCAGCAGCCGCGGUAAUACAUUGGUCGCAAGCGUUAUUCGGAAUUAUUGGGCGUAAAGCAUAUGUAGGUGGCUUGUAAAGUCUGAAGUUAAAGCCCGGAGCUCAACUCCGGUCCGCUUUGGAAACUUGCAAACUAGAGUUAUUGAGAGGUUAAUGGAACUCCAUGUGAAGCGGUGGAAUGCGUAGAUAUAUGGAAGAACACCAGUGGCGAAGGCGAUUAACUGGCAAUAUACUGACACUCAGAUAUGAAAGCGUGGGGAGCAAAUAGGAUUAGAUACCCUAGUAGUCCACGCCGUAAACGAUGAUCAUUAGGCGCUGGAGAAUUCAGUGCCGCAGCUAACGCGUUAAAUGAUCCGCCUGAGUAGUAUGCUCGCAAGAGUGAAACUUAAAGGAAUUGACGGGGACCCGCACAAGCGGUGGAGCAUGUGGUUUAAUUUGAAGAUACGCGAAGAACCUCACCUACACUUGACAUCCUCGGCAAAGCUAUAGAGAUAUAGUGGAGGUUAACCGAGUGACAGAUGGUGCAUGGUUGUCGUCAGCUCGUGUCGUGAGAUGUUUGGUUAAGUCCAGCAACGAGCGCAACCCCUGUCCUUAGUUACUAACAUUUAGUUGAGAACUCUAGGGAGACUGCCUGGGUAACCAGGAGGAAGGUGGGGAUGACGUCAAAUCAUCAUGCCUCUUACGUGUAGGGCUAUACACGUGCUACAAUGGCAAGUACAAUAGGACGCAAUACGGCGACGUGGAGCAAAUCCAAAAAACUUGUCUCAGUUCGGAUUGGAGUCUGCAACUUGACUCCAUGAAGUUGGAAUCGCUAGUAAUCGUAGGUCAGCAAUACUACGGUGAAUACGUUCUCGGGUCUUGUACACACCGCCCGUCACACCAUGGGAGCUGGUAAUGCCCAAAGAUGGAUAGUUAACUUCGGAUGCUACUGUUUAAGGUAGGACUGGUGACUGGGGUG
rnacentral:rRNA from 1 species